rnacentral:rRNA from 1 species
AACUUCUGAAUGUUGACCUCGGAUCAGGUAGGAAUACCCGCUGAACUUAAGCAUAUCAAUAAGCGGAGGAAAAGAAACCAACAGGGAUUGCCCUAGUAACGGCGAGUGAAGCGGCAACAGCUCAAAUUUGAAAUCUGGCUCUCGGGCCCGAGUUGUAAUUUGUAGAGGAUACUUUUGAUGCGGUGCCUUCCGAGUUCCCUGGAACGGGACGCCAUAGAGGGUGAGAGCCCCGUCUGGUUGGAUGCCAAAUCUCUGUAAAGUUCCUUCGACGAGUCGAGUAGUUUGGGAAUGCUGCUCUAAAUGGGAGGUAUAUGUCUUCUAAAGCUAAAUACCGGCCAGAGACCGAUAGCGCACAAGUAGAGUGAUCGAAAGAUGAAAAGCACUUUGAAAAGAGAGUUAAAAAGUACGUGAAAUUGUUGAAAGGGAAGCGUUUAUGACCAGACUUGGGCUUGGUUAAUCAUCUGGGGUUCUCCCCAGUGCACUUUUCCAGUCCAGGCCAGCAUCAGUUUUCCCCGGGGGAUAAAGACUUCGGGAAUGUGGCUCUCUUCGGGGAGUGUUAUAGCCCGUUGUGUAAUACCCUGGGGGGGACUGAGGUUCGCGC